GAGCUAGUGAAAAUAAGAGUUCGUUUGAUUUGUUUCAGCCCCAGGACUGAGGCGUUCAGGUGGCGUGACUGGCGUGCCCUGUCUGCAAUCCUCCCUUUCAGUAAGUCUCUUCAGCCCCAGGACCGG